CAUUCCACGUUUUCCGCGCCGUAGCUAACUACGUGCCAGCAGCCGCGGUAAUACGUAGGUCCCGAGCGUUGUCCGGAUUUAUUGGGCGUAAAGCGAGCGCAGGCGGUUUGAUAAGUCUGAAGUUAAAGGCUGUGGCUCAACCAUAGUUCGCUUUGGAAACUGUCAAACUUGAGUGCAGAAGGGGAGAGUGGAAUUCCAUGUGUAGCGGUGAAAUGCGUAGAUAUAUGGAGGAACACCGGUGGCGAAGGCGGGUCUCUGGGCCGUUACUGACGCUGAGGAGCGAAAGCGUGGGGAGCGAACAGGAUUAGAUACCCUGGUAGUCCACGCUGUAAACGUUGGGCACUAGGUGUGGGGGCCACCCGUGGUUCCCGCGCCGUAGCUAACGCUUUAAGUGCCCCGCCUGGGGAGUACGGCCGCAAGGCUAAAACU
rnacentral:rRNA from 1 species